rnacentral:rRNA from 1 species
AUUGAACGCUGGCGGAAGGCCUAACACAUGCAAGUCGAGCGAGCGGCGGACGGGUGAGUAAUGUAUGGGAAACUGCCUGAUGGAGGGGGAUAACUACUGGAAACGGUAGCAAAUACCGCAUACCAUAAGAUGUGCGAAGAUGGGAUUAGCUAGUAGGUGGGGUAACGGCUCACCUAGGCGCCGAGCCCUAGCUGGUCUGAGAGGAUGACCAGCCCCACUGGAACUGAGACACGGUCCAGACUCCUACGGGAGGCAGCAGUGGGGAAUAUUGCACAAUGGUCGCAAGCCUGAUGCAGCCAUGCCGCGUGUGUGAAGAAGGCCUUCGGGUUGUAAAGCACUUUCAGCGGGGAGGCGUUACCCGCAGAAGAAGCACCGGCUAACUCCGUGCCAGCAGCCGCGGUAAUAC